rnacentral:lncRNA from 1 species
AAGCCUGUUUACGCCUCUUCCUGAUGCAUAUACCAGUGCCUUCUGCUUCUUCUGUGUCCGAGUCCUCAACCACAUUGACAAUCUUAAAUGUUGUGGUGCUUUGAAGAGUUGGCACAUCAUUCGAAGGCUCUUCAGGCAGUACUUUCUCCUUCACCACAGGACCUUGUGAUGGCGGAGAUUGUCCAGAAGGUGCUGCAGGUACCAAGUCAAGAGCCACUACACCUGCUACAUUAUUAGCUUCCCCAACAGGCUUUGUCGUCU